rnacentral:rRNA from 1 species
UGAGGAAUAUUGGACAAUGGAGGCAACUCUGAUCCAGCCAUGCCGCGUGCAGGAUGACUGCCCUAUGGGUUGUAAACUGCUUUUAUAUAGGAAGAAACCUUUCCAUGCGUGGGAAUUUGACGGUACUAUAUGAAUAAGCACCGGCUAACUCCGUGCCAGCAGCCGCGGUAAUACGGAGGGUGCAAGCGUUAUCCGGAAUCAUUGGGUUUAAAGGGUCCGUAGGCGGGCUAAUAAGUCAGAGGUGAAAUCCCACAGCUUAACUGUGGCACUGCCUUUGAUACUGUUAGUCUUGAGUCAUUUGGAAGUAGAUAGAAUGUGUAGUGUAGCGGUGAAAUGCAUAGAUAUUACACAGAAUACCGAUUGCGAAGGCAGUCUACUACGAAUGUACUGACGCUGAUGGACGAAAGCGUGGGUAGCGAACAGG